rnacentral:rRNA from 1 species
AUACGAGGGGUGCAGGCGUUGUUCGGAAUUACUGGGCGUAAAGGGAGCGUAGGCGGAGAUUCAAGCGGAUUGUACAAUCCCGGGGCCCAACCCCGGCUCUGCAGUCCGAACUGGAUCUCUUGGAUAGUUCAGGGGCAGGCGGAAUUCCUGGUGUAGCGGGGGAAUGCGUAGAGAUCAGGAAGAACACCGAUGGCGAAGGCAGCCUGCUGGGGACUUAUCGACGCUGAGGCUCGAAAGUGCGGGUAGCAAACAGGAUUAGAUACCCUGGUAGUCCGCACCGUAAGCGAUGCAUACUGGGUGUCCGGGGGUUCCCCCGGGUACCGUAGCCAACGCGUUAAGUAUGCCGCCUGGGGAGUACGUACGCAAGUAUGAAACUCAAAUGAAUUGGCGGGG